rnacentral:rRNA from 1 species
UACGUAGGGGGCUAGCGUUGUCCGGAAUCAUUGGGCGUAAAGCGCACGUAGGCGGCUUUGUAAGUUAGAGGUGAAAGCCCGGGGCUCAACCCCGGAAUUGCCUUUAAGACUGCAUCGCUAGAAUUGUGGAGAGGUAAGUGGAAUUCCGAGUGUAGAGGUGAAAUUCGUAGAUAUUCGGAAGAACACCAGUGGCGAAGGCGACUUACUGGACACAUAUUGACGCUGAGGUGCGAAAGCGUGGGGAGCAAACAGG